AAACUUUCAACAACGGAUCUCUUGGUUCUGGCAUCGAUGAAGAACGCAGCGAAAUGCGAUAAGUAAUGUGAAUUGCAGAAUUCAGUGAAUCAUCAAAUCUUUGAACGCAUAUUGCGCACAUUAAUAUUUUAGCGGGCAGGAAGGAUCCAGAGAAAUUU
rnacentral:rRNA from 1 species